ACGGAGGAUGCGAGCGUUAUCCGGAUUUAUUGGGUUUAAAGGGUGCGUAGGCGGAUAGAUAAGUCAGUGGUGAAAUUCUGCAGCUUAACUGUAGACUUGCCGUAGAUACUGUCAGUCUUGAGUAUGGUCAAGGCAGGCGGAAUGUGUAAUGUAGGGGUGAAAUCCUAUAAUCCUGGGCAGAACACCGAUUGCGAAGGCGGCUUGCUGGAACAUUCCUGACGGUGAGGAACGAAAGCGUGGGGCGCGAACAG
rnacentral:rRNA from 1 species